rnacentral:rRNA from 1 species
UACGUAGGGGGCUAGCGUUGUCCGGAAUCAUUGGACGUAAAGAGCGUGUAGGCGGCCCGGUAAGUCCGCUGUGAAAGUCGGGGGCUCAACCCUCGAAUGCCGGUGGAUACUGUCGGGCUAGAGUGCGGAAGAGGCGAGUGGAAUUCCUGGUGUAGCGGUGAAAUGCGCAGAUAUCAGGAGGAACACCAAUUGCGAAGGCAGCUCGCUGGGACGUAACUGACGCUGAGACGCGAAAGCGUGGGGAGCAAACAGG